AAUCGAACCCGGAGAUAGCUGGUUCUCCUCGAAAUAGCUUUAGGGCUAGCCUCAUACAAGUCUUGCGGAGGUAGAGCACUGAAUUUCCUAGGGGGCGUCAAAGCUUACCGAAGAAUAUCAAACUCCGAAUGCCGUGUAGAUGUUGUAUGGGAGUCAGACUGUACGAGAUAAGUUGGACAGUCAAAAGGGAAAGAGCCCAGACCGCCGGCUAAGGUCCCAAAGUGGGUGUUAAGUGGAAAAGGAUGUGGGAUCUCUAAGACAACCAGGAUGUUGGCUCAGAAGCAGCCAUUCAUUAAAAGAGUGCGUAACAGCUCACUGGUCGAGAGGUCCUGCGCCGAAAAUGUCCGGGGCUGAAACACCACACCGAAGCCGCGGAACCCGUAAGGGUUGGUAGAGGAGCAUUCUUAGGGGAGCGAAGCAUUACCGGAAGGGGAUGUGGACCGCUAAGAAGAGAGAAUGCCGGAAUGAGUAGCGAGAGCAAGGUGGGAAUCCUUGCGGCCGAAUAUCCAAGGUUUCCAGAGUAAAGCUGAUCUGCUCUGGGUAAGUCGGGGCCUAAGGAGAGGCAGAGAUGCGUAUCCGAUGGACAGCAGGUUUAAGAUUCCUGCACCCCUUGUUAUCAGAACUGCGGGGACACGGGAAGGGAAGCAGAGCCGGGAAUGGAAAGCCCGGUGCAAGCGAAGGAGUCGCAGGGUUGGAAAAUCCGCCCUGCAUAAGACGAAGGCGUGAUGCGGAGCGAAAUGAAGUAGUGAAGCUGCGGCCCCUUCCUGUCGAGAAAAGCCGCUAUCGUGUAGCAAGGGCCCGUACCGUAAACCGACACAGGUGGAUGAGGAGAGGAUCCUAAGGCCGGCGGGAGAAGUGUUGUUAAGGAACUCGGCAAAAUGACUCCGUAACUUCGGGAGAAGGAGUGCUGCGCAAGCAGCCGCAGAGAAAUGGCCCAAGCAACUGUUUAGCAAAAACACAGGUCUAUGCGAAACCGAAAGGUGAGGUAUAUGGGCUGACGCCUGCCCGGUGCUGGAAGGUUAAGGGGAGAGGUUAGCGCAAGCGAAGCUUUGAACUUAAGCCCCAGUAAACGGCGGCCGUAACUAUAACGGUCCUAAGGUAGCGAAAUUCCUUGUCGGGUAAGUUCCGACCCGCACGAAAGGCGUAAUGAUUUGGGCACUGUCUCAACAACACACCCGGUGAAAUUGAAAUACCAGUGAAGAUGCUGGUUACCCGCGCCAGGACGGAAAGACCCCAUGGAGCUUUACUCCAGCCUGAUACUGGGAUUCGGUAUUGCAUGUACAGGAUAGGUGGGAGGCUAAGAACUUAUGGCGCCAGCCGUGAGGGAGCCGGUGUUGGGAUACCACCCCUGCAGUACUGGGUUUCUAACCUGCGCCCGUGACCCGGGCGGGGGACAAUGUCAGGCGGGGAGUUUGACUGGGGCGGUCGCCUCCGAAAGGGUAUCGGAGGCGCUCAAAGGUUCCCUCAGAAUGGUUGGAAACCAUUCGAAGAGUGCAAAGGCAGAAGGGAGCUUGACUGCGACACCGACGGGUGGAGCAGGUACGAAAGUAGGACUUAGUGAUCCGGUGGUAUAAAGUGGGAUUGCCAUCGCUCAACGGAUAAAAGCUACCCUGGGGAUAACAGGCUUAUCACUCCCAAGAGUUCACAUCGACGGAGUGGUUUGGCACCUCGAUGUCGGCUCAUCGCAUCCUGGAGCUGGAGCAGGUUCCAAGGGUUGGGCUGUUCGCCCAUUAAAGCGGUACGCGAGCUGGGUUCAGAACGUCGUGAGACAGUUCGGUCCCUAUCCGGCGCGGGCGGAGGAUAUUUGAGAGGAGCUGUCCUUAGUACGAGAGGACCGGGAUGGACGGACCACUGGUGUAUCUGUUGUCGACCAACGGCAUGGCAGAGUAGCCAAGUCUGGAAGGGAUAAACGCUGAAGGCAUCUAAGCGUGAAGCCCCCCUAAAGAUAAGAUUUCCCAUACCAUAAGGUAGUAAGACCCCUUGAAGACGACGAGGUAGAUAGGGCAGAGGUGGAAGUACGGUAACGUAUGGAGCUGACUGUUACUAAUCGGUCGAGGCUUUAACCAA
rnacentral:rRNA from 1 species